rnacentral:rRNA from 1 species
AUUGAACGCUGGCGGCAGGCCUAACACAUGCAAGUCGAACGAGUGGCGGACGGGUGAGUAAUGUCUUGGAAACUGCCUGAUGGAGGGGGAUAACUACUGGAAACGGUAGCUAAUACCGCAUACCAUCAGAUGUGCCCAGAUGGGAUUCGCUUGUUGGUGGGGUAACGGCUCACCAAGUCGACGAUCCCUAGCUGGUCUGAGAGGAUGACCAGCCACACUGGAACUGAGACACGGGCCAGACUCCGACGGUAGGCAGCAGUGGGGAAUAUUGCAAAAUGGGCGAAAGCCUGAUGCAGCCAUGCCGCGUGUAUGAAGAAGGCCUUCGGGUUGUAAAGUACUUUCAGCGGGGAGGCGUUACCCGCAGAAGAAGCACCGGCUAACGCCGUGCCAGCAGCCGCGGUAAUUC